GAUGAACGCUGGCGGCGUGCUUAAUACAUGCAAGUCGAGCGAACGGACGAGAAGCUUGCUUCGCUGAUGUUAGCGGCGGACGGGUGAGUAACACGUGGAUAACCUAUCUAUCAGACUGGGAUCACUGAGAGAAACCGGAGCUAAUACCGGAUGAUAUUUUCAACCGCAUGGUUCAAGAGUGAAAGACGGGCUUUCUGUCACUUAUAGAUGGAUCCGCGCUGCAUUAGCUAGUUGGUAAGGUAACGGCUUACCAAGGCAACGAUGCAUAGCCGACCUGAGAGAGUGGUAGGCCACACGGGAGCGGAGACGCGGACACGGCUCCUACGAGAGGGAGCAGAAGGGAAUCGUAGGCAGUGGGCGAGAGCAUGGCGGAACAACGCCAAGCGAGAGGUGGAGGUGUUCGGAUCGUGAAAAUCUGUUAUUAGGGAAGAACAUAUGUGUAAGUAACUGUACACAUCGUAACGGUACCUGAUCAGAAAGCCACGGCUAACUACGUG
rnacentral:rRNA from 1 species